AGGUAGUCUGCCUGUGACAUCUGUCAUCUCAUUCGUCACUACAUUUACUUGCUCUGGUCUGUGUGACCAGGCGGGUGGCCCCUCCUCUCAUAGUUCCUGGUACAUCUUUCCCAAGAUCUCACUCAGCAGAAGAGAAUGCCUUCCUAACAGGAGCACAUUUCUCUAGCCAAGAGGACUCAAGAAAUUGAAUUCUACUGCUAGACCCUCCAAAUAAGCUCUCAAAUAAACUUCCUUGCGAGGCAUAAUUUUUACCUGAAUAUGAUACUUGGAUUGAUAGAUCGUUUGCUGU
rnacentral:snRNA from 1 species